ensembl:lncRNA
AAAAGUCCAAGGGUAGCAUGCAUGAAUUCCUUCCAGAGUUGGACAGGCUUGCUUCAACAACUUGUGAUGUUUAAAAGCCAUUAAAUUACUUAGCCAUCUGCUGUUAAUAAUGGGAAACUUCUGAUAGAGCUAAGGUCUGAACAAUGGGAAUGAAUUGUUGAUUGUCCUUAAAGUGCAGUAGGCUUUGUUGUAAUCAUGAAACUGCAGUCUAUAAAUAUUUUAAGUAUCUUAAAAGUGUAUUUCUAACUCUCCCUUCUGUGGGCUUCUGAAUGCAGCACUCGUGUAAAUGAAAUGCAAUGUGAGAGGAUCUGAUUUAAUCCCUACUGGCUUCAACGUGCCUACUGAGUUUGGAGGCUAGAAGCAACGCUAGAAAUUAUGUUAACAGGAGUGGCACGUAGCUGACCUGCAUGGUAUUCACCAAUAGGCAGGAGCACAUUCUCCCCCAAGUUAAUAAUUUCUUAUCCCUUGGAUGACUCUGUAAAUACAUGUGCAGUACAGCUGGAGCUACAGAAGUACUAAAACAGGAAAAAAUUAGAAAUGUUCUUCUACCAUAUUUUUCUCUGAAUCUGUGCUCCUCGUUGUAGGAGUGAUUUAGAGAUGACCACAUGACAAAGCACGCAGCACAUGAGGAUGCUGAUUUUUUUUUUUGUCUCCUCUCCCCUCCUCACUUCAAUAGGGACCAGCUUUCUCUUUUACAGUGAUGUUGGACAGUUAAUACACGGAAAAAUGCAGUGGAUAUCAGACACAAGAUCAUUCCCACGUCCAGCUGACAGCUUAGUGCCAGAAAUGCAGUGCUACUCAAUAGACUUUGGUGGACUUCUGCAGGCGCUGCUAAACCUGAUGGAGAUGGAGUGCACAGCAGACCGGUGUUGGCAUAGCUAAGUUCUAAGCAAGGAAAUGGACUUCUUGGAAACAGUGCUGAGGUAGUGAUGUCCGGUUUUCCCAGUUCUAACAGCUCCCAAGGUUUGCAGCUACUAGGUUUUCUGUAACGGCUUGUACUUGGAGAAUCUCUUUCAAAAUCGGUGAGCAGGGUGCUCUUGUGCUGGACUAUGAGGAGUAACUUUCUACGAGUUUUGGAACUGUGCUGAUAUGGCACUUGGCAAGCUUUACCUGGGAGCAUCUCGUGCAGAGAACAUGAAGAGCAUAUCAGAGGUUAGAGGAUAAAGAAAAGCAGAAAUAUUUGCUCUUCUCCAGAUGCCUGUGACUCACAUGCUGAUGAGUGCCUGUUCUGCUUUAGCCUCCAAUGCAUCUUUUGAGGCCUGAUGUUCCAGGGAGGUCCUUGUGCUGCAUAUAUUUGAGAUCAAAGCCAGGACCUAUCAAAUGUGAACAGGUUUGAUGACUAGAAAGACAAGAAAGCUGCUCCCGCACUUUGCUGUUCUGGUUCUGUACUUGCAGGAGGGGAAAAAAAGGAAAAGGAUGAGAAAGCAAGACUUGACUACAUGCAAUAGCAGAUAUGGCUGGAUGUAGAAGCAGAUCUGCAGAAAGCACUACACUUCAUGGAGGAUGGGACAGGAGAAUAGCCAAAGGAAGUCGAUGAGGAUGGCUGUACUGGUGAGGAACUAAGGAGCUGACAUUACUUCAUCUGAAGAGAAAAGAAGACAAAGCACUCCUUGUAUGGUUAAAAAAAAAAAAGAGGCAGAAGCAUCAAAUGAAGGACUGUUUGAAUUGGAAAACUAAUGAGUAUUUCAGGUUAUUCAAAUCCACACUUAAUCUAACACUGGAAGCCGUUCCAGCAGCAGCAGCACCUUGAGGAGGACAUCGGGAGGAGCCAGGAGCAGCUGGAGGAUGCCAAAUGAUGAAGAGCAUCACCCCCUUACACCUUUACAGAAAAGAAGAGCUAUGACCCAAAGAAAGAACACCUUCAGACACAAACACAGCAGAGGCCCAAGCCUCCCAGGCCUUCUGACUCCGAUACCACCGCGAUCACUGAGCUUUCCAAAGGCUUCACAUUCCUUGACACCUUUCAUGUGCCAUUCACUCCCAAAAGAGGUGAAACUAAUCCUCUGUGAUUCUUGCCAGACCAAAAUUGCACAAACACUUGCUCAAAUUAAGGCCAGUUUCUCAUUAACGGGUCUAUCAAUUAACUCUUUUCAUUACCUGUGCCAGCAGCAUGAAUUAUGAAAAGAAGGCAUGAGAAGAAAUGGGGAUAAGGGCUUACAGUGCUCAAACAUAAGAUUGAAGUCUGCCAAACAUGAUGUCCACCAAAUUUUUACUGCUAAAAAGUUGAGGUCACCCAAUGAGAAAUACAGAGACAGUAAGAUGAUCAAAAUACCUCAGGAGAAGAAUGAAUGAACAAUUUGAAAAAAAAAAAAAAAAGGGAGAAAAGCACUGUGCACUCCAACAACAGCAUCUUAAGUGCAAAACAUCAUUGUACAGAACUUUAUUACGAAGUGAUAAAUCAGCACGCUGAGGCUUCAUUAACUUCAGUGGAACCAGACUGAUUUAUGCCAGCUGAGUCAAUGGCUGCGUUUAUAUGUCUGCAUACGUCAAAAUUAAUCAUGUUUGGAAAAAUAGAAGAUUCUAGGAAUAUAUCCCAGAGGAGAAGAUAUAUAUACUUAUUUAUAAAUUCUACUAAUAAGGUAAUAUACACAGGACUGAAAUGGGGAGAGACCAAACAUGAAACGUGGGUAUAUAGGCUCCUUCAUUACAAAACAUAGGAAACUUGUCUUUGGUGGAGAGAAGAUUGGAAAAAACAUUUCACUUUCUUCUGUGUUUUUUCUUCUUAGGUGAUACUUAGCAGGCCUUUCUACAGGACUCUGAAUGACACAGCUGUCCUGAGGUGAACUUCUGCCCUCCUGCAUGGCAAGAAACAGAUAUGCACGUCCUCUGUCAGCACUCUCCAUCUCCAGCAUUCAGACUCCUGCAACCUUCCCACUGGUCCACAUCCUCACGCAGUCUUCCCAGUAAGGGGAAGAGAGCUGUAGAGAAUAGAAUAACCAUGGUUACUCCUACAUCGUCAGAAUUGGAAAGUAAUGUUAUCCAUGGGCUGAAGGAAGCUCAACCCUGCAGUCCAUUCUUCAAGCUCCUUCCCUACAAAUGCAGUGGGAGAGAUGUCAUUUGGGUGCCAAUGAGUUGUGUGCAUCAUAAAGGUGAUCACGUACCGAUUUCUUUUGGGAUCCACUCUAAAGAAAUGAAAGCUCAUUUUUUUCAGUUCAGAGCAUUUGCCAGUAGAUGGUGUGAGGAAUUUCUCCAAUCGCAGUGACACCAAAUGGUGCUGACAUCUGAAAAAAAAGCAGUGUUUUAUGACAGUAGCAAGAAUUACUUCUCCUUGUGAAUCUAUAUUCUGUCAUAGAGUUUACAAUUGCACUUGCUGAAAUGCUGUCAUUUUCAUUUAAACUAAAGGUCCUCUGCAGCAGGCAGCUCCACAAAGGGUCUCACCUCGUCAACAGCCAUUUCUUAGGAGUGUGAGAUUAGCAGAGCGGCAGCUGAAACAAAAGCUACCUGUUAAACACACUGAGGGUCAACUACAGGAGGAUGAUGCUAGAUGCUUCAAAAACAAGGCCUCAAGGUACACAGAAUAGAUGCAGAUUAUUAUUAAGAGUGACUGCAGCCCCGGUUUUCCUAAACCUCAGCUCUAGUGUCUAAAUCUGUCUUCCCAUUCCCCUUGUAAGAUAGCCAGAGCUGCUGGACUCUCCAACUAUUCAGAAGACUUUCAAACAUUACCUCUUCAUGAACACCUGAAAAUGCAAUACCUACAGGUAGCAGGCUUGGUUUUUCAGGUUGUGCAGCAUUUGGGAACUCUCUCUUGUUUCUGGGAUUACUAGUAGUUCAGAACUAAAUCAAGCUUCUGAUUUAAGUUUCUGAUGGUUAGGGUGAACGUGAAUGACUUUACACAACUUUAAUGGAAGAUAAACAGCAAAAUGACCCAGUUUGACACAAGAAAUGAAUUGAAGUUUAAAAUGACUCAGUUUCCAAAAGUUUUGUCGUGGAAUUUCUCUUUGUUACUGUUCCUGUAUUUGAGAGAAAUGUGGCACACAUAGAAGACUAGCAGCUAUUUUGGUCAGCAGUGCUUGAAAAAAAACCCAUCUACUUUCACAGUUUUAUUAGAAAUGGUAUCCUGAGAGACUGGAUUUGUAUUCUAUGUUUUUUUUUAGGCAAGGCUGCACUAUACCUGCAGUUUUGCUGGCAGAAUUUGCAUCAUUAAUUUAUGCAAACCAAAGGCAGUGAGGAAUCCAGAAACCAUUUUAAAAUGUGUGUAAGUCAGACAUUUAGAACUGAAACAUCCACACUCUUCCUAUAGCCUAUUGCUGCGUGACUUCUUUUCAGUUCCUUCUGGAGUGUGCCAGUAAUCUUUUCUUCUCUUUGGUAAGCCAGAGUAACCCAGUAUAUGAAAAAGUGCUUUGAAACAUCUGCUCUGAAUUUGUUUUUUAAUUAAUUAACAAGUAAAUGGUUUUCUGGUUGUGGUGAAUUAUGGCAACUUGUGUUAACAUAAUUUACCGUGUUAAAAAAUGUAAAGACUUCGAUUAUAGCAUGAUCUUUCUCCUCAGAUAAUUUUAAGAUGAUGUAGUUUCAACCUCUGUAGUUUCUCCUCAUUUUUAUAUGUUUUUAAUAUGAGAUUCCAGUUUAUUAACAGCUGCAUCACUUUACAGUGCUAACAGAUGCUAUUAUACAACCAGGCUAUGAGAACAGACUUCAGCACGCAGGUUUCAAUUUCCUUACCCUUAGUAACAGGGCUGCAGAAACCAAGAUGUACUCCCCUCCUUCUUUCAGUAUCUAAUACUUUAAUACUUGGCACUUAAUCUUUAUUACAGACACCAGUAAAGCAGAUGAGCAAAGUUAUUGUAAAGUCUUUUCAUACAGGAUUUAUCUUCUCUCCUUCACGUCUGCAGUCUGUCAUACAUCAAUUUGUGGUCAUAAGGUACAAAAUAACAGUUUUUUACUGAAAGAAAAUAAAAUUCUUGGCUUGGUUCAGAGCAGGGUUCCAGGAUAGCUCGUUGGGUUGUAGGCUACAGGCAUUCUGCCUCUGACAGGGCUUUGCUUUGCCUUCUCGGCAUAUUCAGAGAGGUGCUAUGUGGCAGGGAAGUGUUCAGAAUGAGGGACUGGGCCUCUACCACCUGCGGUGACGUUGGGCCACUUGGGACAAAGGACUGAUCAGCAAGCACAGCAUCCAGUUCUCUUACCUGGCAGCCAAGCCCAGGGAGCACCAGCUCCAUUUGUGCUGCUGAAUGCAUUUAGCUAUUCAUUAAUUUUUCGAUUACUACAGAUGAGCACACGAGCUCUUCUUCCUCCUCAUUCCUUCACCCUCCUUGUCCCAGAAUGGCUUUUAGCUGCAAUGCCUGGAACUCAGACAAGCAGUGUCGCAUCUUUUCUUGCAGGAGAAGAGAACAAAGAUUUAUAGUGUGAGCUAUGAAAUGAUGAACGAGGGGGAAGUGAUUCCUCCUCCUGCUAUCUGGGGAAAUCUAAUCUUGCAUUUUAGACUUGGAGAGCAGUCAGUUUUUUCCAGAUCAAAUAAAAUAUUUUGUGUAGGAAUGACCUUUUUGUUUAAGCAAGGAAAAUGGAAGAAAUAUAUUUGUUUCAGACUGAACUGAUUUAGAUUUUGGUUCAUUUUUUGAUAUAACAUCGUGGUAUUGAGGAUAAAAUAUUGAGCAGUGCCAUGAAGAAGGUUAUGCUGUAGUUACCAUUCAUGGCCAAUAUACUUAAGCUGGUAACAAAUGCUAUGCAAAAUGAUAUAGUAGGAACACAUUACUAUGCUUGUAAAAUAAUUUAUGUUUCUCCUUUUUUGCUGACUACUGCCUUCUCUCACACAGAAUCACAGAAUAUCCCAAGCUGGAAGGGACCCAGAAGAAUCACUGAGUCCAACUCUGGCUCCACACAGGACCACCCAAACCCAAUGUCUCAGAGCAGUGCCCAAACGCGCCCUGAGCUCCAGGAGCCUGUUCCAUGCCCACUGCCCUCUGGUGCAGAGCCGUUACCCCAAACCAACCUGACCCUCCGCUGAGGCGGCUCCAUGCCAUUCUCUCAGGUCCUGUCACUGUUACCGGAGAGCAGAGCUCAGUGCUGCCCCUCUGCUCGCAGUGAGGAGCUGUGGGAUGCCAUGAGAGAGCUCUUCUCUGGGCUGAACAAACCAAGGGACCUCAGCUGCUCCCCUCCACCCCUUGCCCUCCUCAGCAGCACGAGUUAUGAAAAGGAGGCAUGGAUUACAUCUUACAGCCAACACUGCUGCACCAGACCUGAUAGAAAAUUGUUCAUAGUUCAGCGAGAAGCCGUUUAAAAGUCAGUCCUGGCUCCCCAGAUGCUAUAAACAUCCAUUUUGAUCAGUUAGAAAACCUGGUUGCUUUUAGUAAAAGCACAAGCAGGGAUGAUUUUGUUUUGAUUGUUUAACGCUGUUGAUGUUGCAAAUAGGUAUGUCAGCAUUUGAAAGAUGGUCCUAAGG